UACGGAGGAUGCGAGCGUUAUCCGGAUUUAUUGGGUUUAAAGGGUGCGUAGGCGGCCCGUUAAGCCGGCGGUGAAAUUUCCGGGCUCAACCCGGUCACUGCCGUCGGAACUGGUGGGCUUGAGUGCGUUUGGGGUGGCUGGAAUGUGCGGUGUAGCGGUGAAAUGCAUAGAUAUCGCACAGAACGCCGAUCGCGGAGGCAGGUCGCCAAGCCGCAACUGACGCUGAGGCACGAAAGCGCGGGGAU
rnacentral:rRNA from 1 species